GCAAAUAGAGUUCCGACCAGAGAUGGAAGGAAUGCUUUUAUUAGAUCAAAACCAAUCGGUGGCGGGCUUGCCUUGCUCACCGUUUGACUUGGUGACUCUGAAUAACUUUGUGCUGAUCGCACGGUCUCGUACCGGCGACGCAUCUUUCAAAUGUCUGCCUUAUCAACUGUCGAUGGUAGUUUCUGCGACUACCAUGGUUGUUACGGGUAACGGGGAAUCAGGGUUCGAUUCCGGAGAGGGAGCCUGAGAAACGGCUACCACAUCCAAGGAAGGCAGCAGGCGCGCAAAUUACCCCACUCCCCGGCACGGGGAGGUAGUGACGAAAAAUAACGAUACGGGACUCAUCCGAGGCCCCGUAAUCGGAAUGAGUACACUUUAAAUCCUUUAACCAUGAUCAAUUGGAGGGCAAGUCUGGUGCCAGCAGCCGCGGUAACUCCAGCUCCAAUAGCGUAUAUUAAAGUUGUUGCGGUUAAAAAGCUCGUAGUUGAAUCUGUGUCCCACACUGUCGGUUCACCGCUCGCGGUGUUCAACUGGCAUGUCUGUGGGACGUCCUACCGGUGGGCGCAGCCCGUCAAAAGGCGGCCCAACUCAAAAUCCUACCACGGUGCUCUUCACCGAGUGUCGAGGUGGGCCGGUACGUUUACUUUGAACAAAUUAGAGUGCUUAAAGCAGGCUCAUUCGCCUGAAUAUUCUGUGCAUGGAAUAAUGGAAUAGGACCUCGGUUCUAUUUUGUUGGUUUUCGGAACUCCGAGGUAAUGAUUAAUAGGGACAACUGGGGGCAUUCGUAUUGCGACGUUAGAGGUGAAAUUCUUGGAUCGUCGCAAGACGGACAGAAGCGAAAGCAUUUGCCAAAUGUGUUUUCAUCAAUCAAGAACGAAAGUUAGAGGCUCGAAGGCGAUCAGAUACCGCCCUAGUUCUAACCAUAAACGAUGCCAGCUAGCGAUCCGCCGAAGUUCCUCCGAUGACUCGGCGGGCAGCUUCCGGGAAACCAAAGCUUUUGGGUUCCGGGGGAAGUAUGGUUGCAAAGCUGAAACUUAAAGGAAUUGACGGAAGGGCACCACCAGGAGUGGAGCCUGCGGCUUAAUUUGACUCAACACG
rnacentral:rRNA from 1 species